rnacentral:rRNA from 1 species
AUUGAACGCUGGCGGCAGGCCUAACACAUGCAAGUCGAGCGAGCGGCGGACGGGUGAGUGAUGUCUGGGAAACUGCCUGAUGGAGGGGGAUAACUACUGGAAACGGUAGCUAAUACCGCAUACCAUCAGCUGAGCCCCGAGGGGGUUAGCUAGUGGGUGGGGUCACGGCUAAACUAGGCGACGAUCCCUAGCCGGUCUGAGAGGAUGACCAGCCACACUGGGACGGAGACACGGUCCAGACUCCUACGGGCGGCAGCAGUGGGGAAUAUUGCACAAGGGGCGCAAGUCUGAUGCAGCAAUGCCGCGUGUGUGAAGAAGGCCUUCGGGUUGUAAAGCACUGUCAGUGGGGAGGCGUUAACCGCAGAAGAAGCAACGGCUAACUCCGUGCCAGCCGCCGCGGUAAUUC